rnacentral:lncRNA from 1 species
AGCACAAGGGAUCCAAAUGUGCAAAAGGUCUGUGGAUCAAAGCUGCUGCAUGUAUUUUUUUAAAGAAAGGAGCAAUGAAAGAAGAGCCAAAAGAAGGAAGGAGUGAAUGGAAAGAGCAACUCCCCUUCAAGGCCUAAAGGGUGGAAAGAUGAAGAAAGAUCCAUCUCCACAGGAGCUCACUGAGUGUGCUUGGAAGGCAGGGAACAGGAAUCCAGCAGCUCACAGACCAGGGUGCAGCAGAAGGAUGGGAGCUGAUGCGAGGUGAGCAUUUCACUUUUACUUCGAAGGAUUAAAGUCUUUAGA